GCAUGAACAGCACUCAUCCUGCAAGCUUCAAGCUGACAGGAUGAAGCUAGCACAGACAUUCUCUCUACAUAAUGGGGCUGAAGACGCAUGUGGAACUGUUUCUGACAUGUUCCUGGAGAAAGCAGAAGUUCGAAAACAAUGGGAAAGAAAGAGCUAAAAGAAGGAAG
rnacentral:lncRNA from 1 species